CCUACGGGAGGCUGCAGUCGAGAAUCAUUCACAAUGGGGGAAACCCUGAUGGUGCGACGCCGCGUGGGGGAAUGAAGGUCUUCGGAUUGUAAACCCCUGUCAUGUGGGAGCAAAUUAAAAAGAUAGUACCACAAGAGGAAGAGACGGCUAACUCUGUGCCAGCAGCCGCGGUAAUACAGAGGUCUCAAGCGUUGUUCGGAAUCACUGGGCGUAAAGCGUGCGUAGGCUGUUUCGUAAGUCGUGUGUGAAAGGCGCGGGCUCAACCCGCGGACGGCACAUGAUACUGCGAGACUAGAGUAAUGGAGGGGGAGCCGGAAUUCUCGGUGUAGCGGUGAAAUGCGUAGAUAUCGGGAGGAACACUCGUGGCGAAGGCGGGUUCCUGGACAUUAACUGACGCUGAGGCACGAAGGCCAGGGGAGCGAACGGGAUUAGAUACCCUUGUAGUC
rnacentral:rRNA from 1 species